UUUGUGUUUUGAAUUUGUGUAUUGUAAUUUACGAAAGCCGUAGUUGUAUUGUACGUGUUGUAUUCAAAGCGGGCAUUGCUCAUUCAGUUGCUGCCAGAAGACUUUGUUUUGAUUUUUUUUUGUUUACCGUCCUUUAUACAGCGCUGUUUAGCUUUUACACUUUGACUUGCAGCGCUCAUCAGUCUAAUCGCUCUAACGAUAAGGACAACUUCUGCCUUCUGGAUCUUCUGUCAAUCUGAAAACUUCCCAUUGUACCUACAACAGAGUAGACUUUCAGUUUUUGUGGAGUACUUACAGCUUACUUAUUAAGACUUGACACUUGAGAGAAUUCUACGAGAGUUGACGAAUCACGAAUCCUGUGACGAUGUUUUCAUAACGUUUAUAAUUUUAUUUUUUGUGAACCGUCGACUGUGGAUGUGGUGGUGGCGUCCUUGGUGUGUCUGGCGUUCUUUCCAUCUCUUUCCUCUGCCAGACAUCUCCGGCCCAGGGAUUCGUAACCCUGCUGGAUGUGAGGAGAACAGUAUGUCGGCCAUCCACAGCAGCAGUAUGCGGGCCUUUGCGGAUGCGGAUCGCCGCGGGAAGUUUGUCGCGCGGACGGCAGGGCCGCCGACGCAGAUCACGCGCAAAGCCCGCUGGUACUUUGGUGGUCUGGCUAGCACCAUGGCCGUAUCCAUCACGCAUCCCCUCGAUCUGCUCAAGGUGUACCUGCAAACCCAGGAGCAGGGCCGUCUGAAGAUGAUCCCCAGCGCGGUGCACAUUGUCAAGACCCAGGGCGUGCUGGCGCUGUACAACGGGAUCAGCGCCUCCGUGCUGCGCCAGUUGACGCACACCACGGCACGUUUCGGGAUGUACGAGAUGAUGAAACCGGCCGAUCCCCACCGCCCGCACUCCUUCCCCUACAAAGUCCUGACGGCCGGCGUCAGCGGGGCCUUUGGGGGCUUUGUGGGGGCGCCGGCGGACCUGGUGAAUGUGCGCAUGCAGAAUGAUGUCAAACUGCCGCUGGAAGAGCGGCGCAACUACAAAAACGGUCUCGACGGAUUGAUCCGGGUGUGCCGGGAAGAGGGCUUCCUGCGGCUGUGGCGCGGCUCCUCCAUGGUGAUGGUGCGGGCCGUCUUCAUCACCAUCGGCCAGUUGUCCUUCUACGACCAGGUCAAACAGAUGCUGCUGCAUCUGGGAUUCGCCGAUUCCGUGCCAACGCAUCUGCUCAGCAGUUCCGUUGCGGCAAUGGCCAGUACGACGGUGUCCGCGCCGUUCGAUGUGGUGAAAACACGGAUGCAGAAUAACUGCGACCGUUAUCGGAAUCUCCGGCAUUGUUUCAGUGAAACAGCCCGCACAGGCGGUGUACGAGCAUUCUUUCAGGGAUACUUGCCGGCAUUCAUUCGCAUCGGACCGCAGACGAUCCUGAUGUUUCUCCUGUAUGAACAACUGCGCCUCCACUUCGGCAUCCACAUCCCGAUACGCACGGACACGGAAGCAGCGGCCUGAGCUGCAUCGUAUAUGCUGUCAACGGCAUGACGUGAAUAUCGUUCUCCUGGAUCUGUCGUUAAGGAAUUGAGGUUGUGACAGCGCAGUCUUGUGAUAUACAUGGCCGACGGUUGUGCAUACAUUAUUGCCGACACUUUUUUGCUUUUAUAAUUCUGGCAUUUUUUGAAUAGUUUAUUGGCUUGAUUGUUGUUGAACCGGUUCAGGGAAGAAAUGCUGGCUGAAAAUUACCGACCGACUGUGUAACAAAGCGAUUUCGAUACAAUGUAAUGGAGAAACUCGGUGAAUUAUGAAUUUUUGUGAAGGCGUGUGAAUGAUGAAUAUUUCUAAUCAAUGAUGGUUAACCUUAUUUGGAGCACAGACAAUUUUAUCGUUAUCAACAUUGUCGAUCCAACAAUGGAAUUGGCCCGCUUUGCCG